UUGAUUAGUAUUUGUCAACAAUACUUUAGAAGGAAACAGAUAAGGAAUCAUUUAUUCAUUCGUUCUUAUGUUCCUAGUCAUAGUUCAUCUCAACGAUAUUUCCACUUCCAGUUAGAAAUAAUUUUUAAAAAGUUUUCCCUUAUUAUAUUAAAUGAUUUUCUAAGAAUCUUCAUUGAUUGGAAAUAUCUUCAAUUAAUUUUAAGAAAAAAUUUAUUGCAACAUGGAUGCCAUAAUUGCUAGAAAUAUAAUCGAAUUAGCUGGAGCUAUGAUGGAAGAAUUCGAAACAACAUGGAACAAAAUAAAUGAAAAAGAAAUUAACCAACUCAAUUAUCAUACAAUAAAACUACAUUUGUCGCAUAUAAAAGAACAACGAGAUUUGCUUAUCAAUGCUAAUACAUUCAAUUCCUAUCAUUUUCCAAAUCUUCUCGUUAUAAGAAAGAAUUUCAUGCAAAAAUAUAUUCCAAUUGUGGCUGCAGCAGACUUAUAUAUGAUACGGUAUAAAAAAUUCGACAUAGAGUGAAGAAAUGAAUAAAAAUAAAAUCUUGAUAAUAAUGAAAGUGACAAUUCUUUAAAAUUAAAAAUAGUUAAGUUUCGUUUUUUUUUUUUUUUUUUUAUUGAAUUUAGAGAUUCAUUUCUUCUUAAAGAUAUUUCGAAAAUAUUAAGUUGCUUAAAUAAUAUUUUCAUUUUAUCAAAAUCGUUUUAUUCAAAAAUUAAUCAUUUUAUUCAUUUUUACGUAUAGAUAUGUUAAUUUAUAACUUUUUUAUGUAUUUUUACUUCAAUUCUUGCGUUAGAUUAAUAGCACAUGGUUUUAUUAUUCGUUAUUUUUUUAAUUUUGUUAUAUAGAUAUAUUCUACAUAUAAAAAUAAAAACUAAAAUACAAAUCUACAAAUAUAAAAUUUUGUCAUCAUGUAGAAUAAAACAAUAUUGUUUACAACUGUUGUAUGUACUUUAUCUAAGUUAAAAUAAAAUCCUUCAAAGUUUUUAA